rnacentral:sRNA from 1 species
CAUGGCGAGGAUGCCAACAGGAUUACGACUUAAGGACAAGGGUCAGGAGCGCCAGGAGGCGAAGACUCAGGAUUGUCAGGAUGACCGGCGCCUUGGAGGCGUUUUAACAGGAAACGGAACCGUAUCACGGACGGUAGCAGCCAAAGGAUAAACAGGGUUUGUUGUAGGUAAACAGGGAAUGUGUAACCCGUUAAGGGUUGUGAGUCAGGAAAAAAGGCGACAGAUUGCUCUGUCGCCUUUUUUCUUUGCUUGCUU